AACGAGCAAGAAGAGAAACGCAUGAGGCUGCUGGACGUGAGCAGACCGUAAAACCCCUUGCGCGUCUGCGUCUUUUCGAAGGCCCUCCUUUCUCUAUACACCUUCACUGGGAUGAGCUCUACCGCCAGGGCUUCGUACUCGUCCCCGGAGUACACGCACUGCAUUCGCGAUUCGCGCUUUCGCCACAACGUCUACGAGCCUGAGGCGGACACAUUUCUCUUUCUCGAGGCUCUCGACAAGGAUGCCGAGCUUCUCCGCUCCAUUCAACCAGACCGCUGCGUGGAGGUCGGGUGCGGCUCCGGCACUGUCAUCACACAUCUCCGGUGUCUACUAAUGCCAUCCGUCGCAGCAGCAGCCACACAGGAAAUUGGUGCAGAAAAGCCUGAUCUCUGCUGCCGCGCGAGCGGCACCCGCAGCACUGUUGGCGGACCAAUGUUCUGUGCUGUGGAUGUGAACCCGCUGGCUCUCGAGGCCACCGCAAUCACCUGGACGGAAACCCUUCUCAAGUACUUUAGGGAGACGGUUUUGACCGACUUCUACGAGCGUAUAUUUCAGAGUGCCGUUCCAACCUCGCUCGCUGCUCCAGUGGUGCUCUCGGCCGAGGGGGUUGCGCCACCAUCACUGCGUGUGGAUGCCGACGACGUGACAUCUUCUGCGCUGUCGGCUUCGACCUUUUGCCUUCAUCGUUUCCACGGCGAUCUCUUAAACGCUCUGCCUCGUGGGAACUCGGCGUCUGCGCUGUUCGAUGUCGUCCUCUUCAACCCCCCGUACGUCCCAACCUCGCUCGAGGAGUUACAGGAUGCCAUAGCCCAAAGGGACGUGAUCACCACAGCGUGGUGCGGCGGGCCGCGAGGACGCGUUGUGCUCGACCGGUUCCUGCGUCAGCUGCCUUCCGUUCUCUCACGGCGCGGUGUGUGCUACCUGGUGCUUAUCAAGGAAAACAAUGCGACGGAUGUGGUGGCGUUUGCGCAGACUACGUUUCGCGAGCACCUGCGUUGCAGCGGGACGGAGACUGUGAAGGAUGAGGACGACAUGCUUGAGGCCUCGGAGGUGACGGCGCGCUACACGGGCGAACAUUUAAGCGUGUACCGACUGCGCUACUUGCCCCGAUUUCAAACGCCAUGAAGGGCGCGUACUCCAACGUGCGAGACGGCACAUCCUCAUGCGCUGACAUUUUCUCUCCCUGCUGGCCACCUCCCAGCGACGCAAAGCAGAACGACCCAGAGGUGCGAGGCCAUUUUUCGACCUUUCCUGCGAGUGCAUGGCGCUUCGCUUUUUCGUUUCCGCGUCCAUCUGCGGCUAUCCGCGUGCACGUGAUCUAGAAGGAUAAGCGCGACGCGCGCAGACACUCGUAAGAAAGUACGGCAAGGUCGAUUCGAAUCAUGCCACACCCACGGUUUCACCACAGUGCCGCCUCCCUGAGCACGCUUCUGCCCACAUUGUUGCAUUGCCAGGCAUUUAUCCACAGGACCCUGCGCACGCGCUUCGCGUUCGAUGGGAAUCCGUUUCGCCAUUGCAUCAUCACCCUGCUCGACAUGUCUCUGUUGCAUCUGUGAGGUGUGCGCGUGUCUUCUGUACACGCGCAGCACAUCUCCUUCCUCUCCUCCAUCUAUCCGCCCCCUCACGCCGCUUUGUUGCCUGCAUACGCAUUCGCGAAG
rnacentral:misc_RNA from 1 species